AACGAACGUUGGCGGCGUGGAUUAGGCAUGCAAGUCGAACGAAUCCCUGGGGGCUUGCUCUCAGGGGGAAGUGGCGAAAGGGGCAGUAAGGCAUGGGUAACCUUCCCUGGGGACCGGCAUAGCCCUCCUAACGGAGGGGUAAUUCCGGGUAAAGUAAGCGGGACGCAUGUCCGGCUUAUGAGAGGAAUUUCGCCUCGGGACGGGCUCAUGUGGUAUUAGCUGGUUGGUGGGGUAACGGCCUACCAAGGCUGAGAUGCCUAGCGGGUGUGAGAGCACG
rnacentral:rRNA from 1 species